GGUGUUUGCCGUGUAUAUGGAAAUUAUAUAAACCAUGAAGAUUUGCAAACUGCCAUUAUUUCAAGCACAAAAGCUGUCGCAGGACAGCUUAUGAAAGCACUUGAUCGCACUAUUGUUAAAUUACAAAAUGGCUGCAUAUAUUGUGACUUCGUAGAAGGAAAAGGCAGAAGGGCUGAACCAAAGUCAGAAGUGUUUUUACAGCUACGCGGCAUUGUGCCUGGACAAACGGAGCCAUUUGUUAAUUUUGGAGCUCAGCUAUACUCGUUCAUCCUAGGGGGUGGGGAACUGAUCCCUGGGUUAGAUGAGUCCAUCC